rnacentral:rRNA from 1 species
GCUCAGGAUGAACGCUAGCUACAGGCUUAACACAUGCAAGUCGAGGGGUAGCAGGGUAGCAAUACCGCUGACGACCGGCGCACGGGUGAGUAACACGUAUCCAACCUUCCCAUAACUCAGGGAUAGCCUUUCGAAAGAAAGAUUAAUACCUGAUAGUACUUAAGAAAGGCAUCUUUUUUAAGUUAAAGAUUUAUUGGUUAUGGAUGGGGAUGCGUUCCAUUAGAUAGUUGGUGAGGUAACGGCUCACCAAGUCUUCGAUGGAUAGGGGUUCUGAGAGGAAGGUCCCCCACAUUGGUACUGAGACACGGACCAAACUCCCACGGGAGGCAGCAGUGAGGAAUAUUGGUCAAUGGGCGAGAGCCUGAACCAGCCAA